rnacentral:rRNA from 1 species
UACGUAGGGUGCAAGCGUUUGUCCGGAAUUAUUGGGCGUAAAGAGCUCGUAGGCGGUCUGUCGCGUCGGCUGUGAAAUCCCGAGGCUCAACCUCGGGUCUGCAGUCGAUACGGGCAAACUAGAGUAUUGCAGGGGAGACUGGAAUUCCUGGUGUAGCGGUGAAAUGCGCAGAUAUCAGGAGGAACACCCGUGGCGAAGGCGGCUCUCUGGGACGGUACUGACACUGAGACGCGAAAGCGUGGGGGAGCGAACAGG